rnacentral:rRNA from 1 species
CAAUAGCGUAUAUUAAAGUUGUUGCAGUUAAAUAGCUCGUAGUUGGAUUUCUGGUGGGAGCGAUCGGUCUGGCGCUUAGCGCGAGUACUUGCAUCGUCUCCGGCCAUCCUUGGGGAGAGUCUGUCUGGCAUUAGGUUGUCGGGCAGAGGAUCCUCAUCGUUUACUGUGAAAAAAUUAGAGUGUUCAAAGCAGGCUUAUGCCGUUGAAUAUAUUAGCAUGGAAUAAUAAGAUAGGACUUUGGUACUAUUUUGUUGGUUUGCGCACCAAAGUAAUGAUUAAUAGGGACAGUUGGGGGUAUUCGUAUUCCGUUGUCAGAGGUGAAAUUCUUGGAUUUACGGAAGACGAACUACUGCGAAAGCAUUUACCAAGGAUGUUUUCAUUAA